rnacentral:rRNA from 1 species
CGACGAAAACCUUACCCACCUUUGACAUGGCAGGAACUUACCAGAGAUGGUUUGGUGCUCGAAAGAGAACCUGCACACAGGUGCUGCAUGGCUGUCGUCAGCUCGUGUCGUGAGAUGUUGGGUUAAGUCCCGCAACGAGCGCAACCCUUGCCAUUAGUUGCUACGAAAGGGCACUCUAAUGGGACUGCCGGUGACAAACCGGAGGAAGGUGGGGAUGACGUCAAGUCCUCAUGGCCCUUAUAGGUGGGGCUACACACGUCAUACAAUGGCUGGUACAAAGGGUCGCCAACCCGCGAGGGGGAGCCAAUCCCAUAAAGCCAGUCGUAGUCCGGAUCGCAGUCUGCAACUCGACUGCGUGAAGUCGGAAUCGCUAGUAAUCGUGGAUCAGAAUGUCACGGUGAAUACGUUCCCGGGUCUUGUACACACCGCCCGUCACACCAUGGGAGCGGGUCUCGCCAGAAGUAGGUAGCCUAACCGCAAGGAGGGCGCUUACCACGGCGGGGUUCGUGACUGGGGUGAAGUCGUAACAAGGUAAGCGUAGUGCU